UACGAGUGCCUCGAGCGUUAUCCGGAAUCAUUGGGCGUAAAGAGUGCGUAGGCGGUUCGUUAUGUCUGCUGUGAAAGCCCCGGGCUUAACCCGGGAAUGGCAGUGGAAACUGGCGGGCUUGAGUGUGGCAGAGGGGGGUGGAAUUCCGCGUGUAGCAGUGAAAUGCGUAGAGAUGCGGAGGAACACCGAUGGCGAAGGCAGCCCCCUGGGCUAACACUGACGCUGAGGCACGAAAGCGUGGGGAGCAAACAGG
rnacentral:rRNA from 1 species